rnacentral:lncRNA from 1 species
GAUCUAGAGGUAUGUGAUUAUUUGGAGGAGGAGUAGCAGGAGUAGGCGCCGCAGAGCUUUCCGACAUAGUUGGAGCAGGAGCCGGUGCAGCAGAACCUUCCGACGUAGUUGGAACAGGAGUAGGUUCAGCAGCGCCUUCCAACGUAGUUCAACCAGGAGCCGGGGCAAGAGAGGCUUUCGAUGUAGCGAGACUAGGAGCAGGUGCAAGAGAGCCUUCUGACGUAGCAAUACCAG